rnacentral:rRNA from 3 species
UGUACUGGAAAGUGCACUUGGAAUC